AGUGAACGCUGGCGGCGUGCCUAAUACAUGCAAGUCGAACGGAGUGGCGCACGGGUGAGUAAUAUAUAGCUAAUCUGCCCCUUGCUGGAGGACAACAGUUAGAAAUGACUGCUAAUACUCCAUAGCAAGGGAUGAGACUAUAUCGUAUCAGCUAGUCGGUGGGGUAACGGCCUACCGAGGCUAUGACGCGUAACUGGUCUGAGAGGAUGAUCAGCAACAUUGGAACGGAGACACGGUCCAGACUCAUACGGGAGGGAGCAGUAGGGAAUAUUGCGCAAUGGGGGAGGCCCUGGCGCAGCUACGCGGCGUGGAGGAUGAUAAUUUUCGGAGCGGAAACUCCGUUUGUUAGGGAAGCGGUACCUAACGAAUAAGCACCGGCUAACUCCGUGCCAGCAGCCGCGGUAAUUC
rnacentral:rRNA from 1 species